AAUGAGAAAUUCUUGGUUUUAUUAUUCAUAUUAAUGAUGUGUGGUUUGAUUUGAAAACGUCCGGCAACAUUAAAUCUUGAUGACGUAAAAAAAAAAAUGGAAGAAAGAAAGCUACUUGCAUAACAAGCCUCAAGUCACCCCUCAUCAACCACCACUCAUCUGCAGCUUAACCGGAGCUAAGUUGUAAGCCAUGAGAAAAUGAAGAUACGAAGCAAUUGGAGAAAAAGUAUAUGAAACUGACUGUUAUUCAUUCAUUUAUUUAUUCGUUUUUGCCUUAAUCGCAACAGGUGUAGAGAAGCUGUGAAGUCGUGGAUUAUAUAUUUGUAAAUUGGUCACGUGCAAAAGUCUGCCUUUUCACUGGUCCCUGCCUCACUCUAGUUACAUGUACACUCUGCAAUGUAGCUGGCUGAGACAAGAGACCAGGCGUGGCCCUAAUCACACUCUUUGUUCGAUGCUAAAAGGUAAAAAUUCAGAAAUAUAUGGUGCACGGUGAAGAAGUUCCAGGUAAUUGCUGCAAUAAGUUGCCUCCUCAACCUUUACUCCCAUUAACGUUUUUUUUUUCAAUAUUUAAGGA